ensembl:lncRNA
GCGGGUGCUUUGUUAUAAUGAUAAUAGCAAUGAUCCAAAUAAACACAUGCCUAGCAAGGGUUAAAAUGGUCAUUCAGUCAUUCAUCACUACUAACCUGUAGUGGCCUGAGCAAACGUCUCUUUCCACAGUGGAUGAGAGGGCAAGAUGAUUUUGGUCUGUGAAUCCCCUUUUGUCUUUAUGUGCCAGAAGAACAGAUGCUCUCAGUAAGGGGCAUUCUCAACUAUUUACUGUCUACAGUAAUCUAUUUGUUUCUGCUUACAGAAAGAGUGUGUGGCUCUCUAGGUUCCCUGUUUCUUGGAGCUACAGAUGAAUGAGUAAGCUUGCACAGUAUGUAAUCCCAAGGAGCAGUAUGAUAGGGAACAAGUAAGAGAAUAUUUGAGAGAUGGAAGAUGUGAUCCAAAGGAAUGCCUGCUUUGUACAAAGGCCUAGAGAAGAGUUGCAUGGGAUGAAAACACACCUGCUUCAUAACAGAGCACUUGCAUUUGCCAGACUACUAUUUCAGGGUCUGCCUUGCCUGUAGCUUUCUGCAGAAAAAUCUGUUUGUGCCAGAAUUCCACUCCUGAGCCAGGAGAUAGUGAUGAAGGAAGUCAGGAAGGGUACAGUGCACAAUUCCAGCAUGUCAUGGGAAUGUUUCCUUCUGCUUGUUUGGUCUGACAGAGAUGAUGGGAACCACAGGAGCAGGAGAAGCACUGUGACACACCAGGAUUAUUUUCCUUUCUAUACCAGUGCUUGUUGUUAUUCUCCAUUUCCAGCCUCACAGAACCUGUUCUAGAGCUGAAAUGGACCCUGUGGUGUAUUUACUGCUUUUUCAUUUUGGCCUUUGGUAUUUUUCCAAAGAAGCAGUAAUGGGGAGAGUUUGGGUUGAAUCAUGGAUGUCCCUUGGAUACUUCUACUGCUUCCAAAUGGAGCACCUCCAGGAAACAUACACCUAUGAACUGUUGUUUUCCAUAGGUUUUUCAAGAGCAGCAUGGAGAUGUGCAUUGAUUUUGAUGGCAGGCAGUGUACAACAGGCUGCUCCUUAACCUGCCCACUGCUUGUUCUCUGCAGGAUACCGGUCUGUGGUGAGAAUUUUACCACCAAAGGAAUUAGGAAGACUUGUAGUUUGUUCUUGUCCAGGUUUGGGGCACAGAGGUUGCUACACCUGUUGGUUUUUAUUAGUUAAAUGUAUGUUGAAGUCUACAAAUAAAUGCUACGACCCAGGUGGAACAGAUGAGAUGUGACUAAGUUCUUGGAUGAUUGAUAAUGAGCAGAGACUGGAAAAUCAAUUGUGUUAAUUCCUGGCUUGUCACCAGGACGGAGAAUUAAUGAGAAAAUCCAUCUAACGUAAUGGUAUUUACAUAUUAUACAGAAUGUGAUAAAAUUGUCCUCAGGUGCUACUUGGCAUCACAAUUAUAGGAUUACUGUAGACGCAGAGGCAGGAACAGAAAUCUGCAAGCACAAAAACUCCUUCACAAACAACAAACAAGUGACACUGACCAAUGAGGAGGGCUGAAGAAAAAGCCAGGAAAGCAAGGAAGGCUGUCGGACUCCAGCAGAGAUCUCUGAAGCUCUCGGGAGAAUGUCUAUGUCUGUGUCUGUGUUACAAGGCUGAGCAGCCAUGUUCCUGGACCUUGAAGAGCACUCAGGCAUCAGCCUCUUCAAGUUGUUGCCUGGAGGGAUUAUGCCUUUGAAGAUAUGGCAUGAAGAGAUAGAAGCUUGAACUGAAAAACAAUCACAGCUUGUGCAUUUUUGUCCUUAUACAACUCUGUGAAAUGUGACAGUGCCAAGAAGUUGCAUCUGGUUUAUACCAAGGAAGCUAAAGAGGUGACUUGAUCACCGCCUUCAAGUACAAGCUUUGUCUGCAGGGGGGCUGUCUGUUUCUAAUACUUGGUGCUGCAGAUUGGCAGGUGAGGUGAUAUGGAAGGGAAUGCUCAGCAGCCCUACCCAGCCACAACUAGAGGAGUCAGAACUGAACAGCUCCAGAAGCCAACUGCUCUGUGGUCUUAUCCACUGAGAUGUGCCACGGUCAGCUUGUUCUCCCUCUGCCUCAGAUCUACUGCAAAUGGAACCAUUUGGAAUGCAGCCUAAAUCCCACUGGAGCAAUUGGGAUGCAGAUGGCAAGGAAAGCUGAAGGGCAUUUGGAUACAUGCUGUCCCAUGGAUGUCUAAAUGGGAGAGAAGGUCUUCUAGAAGCACAUGAAGGACCCUAGAGGAGACAAGCGUUGGGAAAAAAAAUGUGUCAGAACAUCUGAAAUGCCUCCUUCAUUGUCCCAGCUUUGGGAGCACUUACUUAACCUAUAUCAGCAUGACUCAAAACAACAUCAAUGUUUGUCUCUGGAGUGAAAAGAAAUAAUGUGCUUUGUUCAGCUGCUUCCUAUUCAAAGAGAAAUCACACUGGGAAGCAGAAGUUGCUGUAAAGGGGAGAGGUUCUGCAACUGACUCACUGGAAAAGGGGGAGAACAGUGCACAAAAGAACCUGCGGAUAUCCUGGUGGAUUUCAGGACCUUUCUGUCAGACCCUCUGACCACACGUGGUUCUGGGUCACCCAUCAGCUCCAUACAGUGACAGAGACACGUGGCAGGCUCAUUGGCACCAUCGUUGGCUCUGGAGUGCCUUAACAUCUUUGAGUCCAGUGGAAUUCACAAGUAAAGGAAGGCCGGAUGGACAGCGUUUCCAUAAUUUGCAGAAUGUCCUCAUGUGGAG